UCAAAUAAAAGAAGGCGGACGGCGGAGACCUAGGCACUCAGAGACGAUGAAGGGCGCAUUAACCGGCGAUACGCUUCGGGGAGUUGGAAACGAACUUUGAUCCGAAGAUUCCCGAAUGGGGCAACCCCUAGAACUCCUUUAUAAAUUCAUAAAAAGGAAGAGGCAACCCGGUGAAUUGAAACAUCUUAGUAACCGGAGGAAAAGAAAGCAAAAGCGAUUUCCUUAGUAGCGGCGAGCGAACCGGAAACAGCCUAAACUGUUUUUCAUUUGGAAAGCAGGGUUGUGGGAAGACACUAAAAAGUGAUUAUACAGAGAUAAAAACGAAGCAGCUGAAUCCUGCACCAUAGAUGGUGAAAGUCCAGUAGUUAGAGUCUAAUAAUUCUUGUCUUAUCCCGAGUAGCAUGGGGCACGUGAAAUCCCGUGUGAAUCUGCGAGGACCACCUCGUAAGGCUAAAUAUUCCUGAGUGACCGAUAGCGAAAUAGUACCGCGAGGGAAAGGAGAAAAGAACCCCCGGAGGGGAGUGAAAUAGAACAUGAAACCGUCCGCUGACAAGCAGUGGGAGGGUUGUUAAGCCUGACCGCGUGCCUGUUGAAGAAUGAGCCGGCGACUUAUAGGGAGUGGCGUGGUUAAGGAAAUUCAUCCGGAGCCAUAGCGAAAGCGAGUCUGAAUAGGGCAUUAUGUCACUUCUUAUGGACCCGAACCGGGAUGAUCUAACCCUGGCCAGAUUGAAGCGUGGGUAAAACUUCGUGGAGGAUCGAACGGACCGAUGUUGAAAAAUCGGCCGAUGAGUUGGGGUUAGCUGGAGAAAUUCCAAUCGAAUUCCGAGCUAGCUGGAUCUCUCCGAAAUUUGUUGAGGCGAAGCGGUGACAAUGGGCUGCCUUGGGGUAAAGCUACCGUUUCGGUGCGGGCUGCGAAAGCGGUACCAAGUCGUGACGAACUCAGAAUACAAGGUAUAGCUUUCUGUCAACCAGUGAGACUACGACGGAUAAGCGCCGUAGUCAAGAGGGAAACAGCCCAGAUCACCAGCUAAGGCCCCUAAAUGGACGCUAAGUGGUAAAGGAUGUGGGAAUGCGAAAACAACCAGGAAGUUCGCUUAGAAGCAGCUAACUUUAAAAGAGUGCGUAACAGCUCACUGGUAACAGCGUUCUUGCGCCGACAAUGGCCGGGACUAAGCGUCCUGCCGAAGCUGUGGGAUCGAGAAUAACUCGUAUCGGUAGGAGAGCGUUCUGCUAUCGGGUGAAGCUAUUACGUAAGUAGUGGUGGACGUAGCAGAAGUGAGAAUGUCGGCUUGAGUAACGAAAACAUUGGUGAGAAUCCAAUGCCCUGAAAACCUAAGAAUUCCUUCACUAGGCUCGUCCAUGAAGGGUUAGUCAGGACCUAAGGCAAGGCCGAAUGGCGUAGUCGACGGAAAUCAGGUUAAUAUUCCUGAACUUAUUUAAACGCUUCAGAUCCCGAGGGACGGAGGAGGCUAAACUAGGUUUGUUUAUGGAUUGCAAUGGAAGCGAUUAAGGCGUUGAGAGAUUGAAUAAAAACAAUUCUUGAGCUGAAACGUGAUCCCGUCUAGUUAAGUCUUCGGAUUUGAUUGGACGCUAGUGAUGUCACACUCCCAAGAAAAGCUCGUUCGAUUUUAGUUUAAAUAACCUGUAUCUGAAACCGACACAGGUAGGUGGGUAGAGAAUACCUAAGGGCGCGAGAGAACUCUCUUUAAGGAACUCGGCAAAUUGGCCCCGUAACUUCGGAAGAAGGGGUGCCCUCUUAACAGAGGGCCGCAGUGCCAAGACCCAAGCGACUGUUUACCAAAAACACAGGUCUCUGCAAAGUCGUAAGACGAUAUAUAGGGGCUGACGCUUGCCCAGUGCCGGAAGGUCAAGGAAGUUGGUUAUUCGUUUCGAAGAAGCUGGCGACCGAAGCCCCGGUGAACGGCGGCCGUAACUAUGACGGUCCUAAGGUAGCGAAAUUCUUUGUCGAGUAAGUUUCGACCUGCACGAAAAGCGUAACGAUUUGGGUACUGUCUCAAAGAGAGGCUCGGUGAAAUAGACUUGUCCGUGAAGAUGCGGACUACUUAUACCAGGACAGAAAGACCCUAUGAAGCUUGACUGUAGUUUGGAAUAGGGUUCGGGCUUUUCUUGCGCAGCCUAGGUGGGAGGCAUUGAGGAUUUCUUUUCGGGGAAAUCGGAGCCAUCAUUGAGAGACCACUCUGGAAGAGCUAGAAUCCUAAUGGCGUUCCUUGAAUCAGGACGCUUGACAGUUUCAGAUGGGCAGUUUUCUUGGGGCGAGAUUCUUAGUUAUGGGAUGCUUGGACAUUUUAUGAUCGUAGAUAAAUCGAUUUAAAACCUUUUAAUUAUCAAAAAAUCUUUUGAUCGUAUAAAAUUCAAGUAGAAUUUGACUAUAUGCUGGAAUGUUUCUAAGUUGACUUACUGUGGGAUAAGCUCGCCUUGUCGUUACCGACCACAACUGUUAAACAGUAGGGGUUUUUUAACCCCUGAAGCUAAUCAGCAGGGUCAUAAAAAAUAAUUUUGUGACCUUCAAAGACUUUACGUUAAACUUUUAAGUUAUUCUUUUAAACCUUAAAAGAUGAUAAAGUCUAACCUAAUAAUAAUUUAUUAGGUUGCCUAAAAGGUAACGGAGAAGCGCAAUGGUCCCCUCAACCUGGACGGAAAUCAGGCUUUGAGUGCAAAGGCAUAAGGGGGCUUGACUGCAAGACCUACAAGUCGAGCAGGGGCGAAAGCCGGCCUUAGUGAUCCGACGGUGCCGUGUGGAAGGGCCGUCGCUCAACGGAUAAAAGUUACUCUAGGGAUUAACUGUUAGUCCUCCCUCCAGUAAUGGCAGGGUGAGUUUAAACAAACAUGGUGAAUUGAAAGGAUAUACUACAUACUACAAAUAGAUAAGUAGAAUAUCUCGGGAAUAGCUAAGGAAAACAGUCUGUUUUCUAUGCCAACCCGCAGCCAAGCUAAGGUCUUGGUGAUGCUAGAGUUUUUACUUAUAGCAUCUGACUUUAGAAGGUUCAACGACUAGUGCUGCGCCUACCAAAGGCAAUAAUGCACAUAAGCGCCAUGUAACCAAACAUAGUUUUUUUUAGUGUUUUGAGUUAAAACUAGUUAGAACUCAGAAAUCAGGUAAGCACAAAUAGUUUGAAUUAUUAUAUAGAAAAAUAAAAUAAGGAAAAAAUAUGACAACUUAUCAAAAAGGUUUAACAUU
rnacentral:rRNA from 1 species